CCCGUCACGGGCCGGAAACGUGACCGGGAUGUAGCCCAAAGUCGGAAAGAUAAUUGAUCCGGAUCAAGUUAACAUGGAAUGGGAAGAAAAGCAUUGAAAAUAGUCAUAGUGAUUUACAUUAAUGAAGAUUUAUGAGCUAUCGUAUGCUAUAUCAUUCUUGCGUGGUUGGACUUUCAUUUGAUAUUUGACGUACAUACUUAUAUUGAUUAUUCGAGCCUUUGAUAGCCGGUUUAUGAUUUCAUGAAAUGUGCAUCGAUUUGUCGUGGCUUUCAAAUUCAUAUUAUUAUUGUGUUGGUAUGGAUGUGUAGGGAUUCUUACUGGGCUGUAAAGCUCACCCCCUUUUCUUCUUUUUCUUUACCAGAGUUGCAGGAUGCAUAGUUUUGGAUUGGAUGGGCGCAGAGUGCGAGCACCAGAGUCAUUAGUUAGUUAGUUGUUUAUCCUUCUUUGAUGUCGAUGAACAUUUAAAGAGCUCGUAAUUGAACUAAUUUGUUUAUUUGGACAUGUCGGAUUUGUCUAUUGAAAUUUCUAAAUUAGUUGUGGAUUUAUUGGAAUUUUUGUUAAUCAUAGGCCUUGCAUGAUCUUUAGGGCACUGCUCUAGGGCUCAUGCGGCCGGUCGCGUACCGGACCCGGGUGCUGGGUUCGGGGCGUGACAG
rnacentral:lncRNA from 1 species